GAUGAACGCUGGCGGCGUGCCUAAUACAUGCAAGUCGAGCGAACAGACGAGGAGCUCGCUCCUCUGACGGUAGCGGCGGACGGGUGAGUAACACGUGGAUAACCUACCUAUAAGACUGGGAUAACAUCGGGAAGCCGGAUCUAAUACCGGAGAAUAUAUUCAACCGCAUGGAUCAAUAGUGCAACACGGUUUUGCUGUCACAUAGAGAUGGAUCCGCGCCGCAUUAGCUAGUUGGUAAGGUAACGGCUUACCAAGGCAACGAUGCGUAGCCGACCUGAGAGGAUGAUCGGCCACACUGGAACUGAGACACGGUCCAGACUCCUACGGGAGGCAGCAGUAGGGAAUAUUGCGCAAUGGGCGCAAGCUUGACGGAGCCACACCGCGUGAGUGAAGAAGGUCUUCGGAUCGUAAAGCUCUGUUAUUAGGAAAGAACAAAUGUGUAUGUAACUAUGCACGUCUUGACGGUACCUAAUCAGAAAGCCACGGCUAACUACGUG
rnacentral:rRNA from 1 species